AAUUAAAUGAAAACUCUGAUUCUCUUCUCUCUCCCUAAGAUUUUUUAUUAAUAAAGAUACGAGGGUUUGUUUUCGGUCCACUUCCUGGUGGUCAAAUUAAAAAACCGUUUUCGUUUAUAAAAAGAAUCCCGGGGCUGAUAAUUUAAACCCUAACCCGAACCCCAAUUCACCGAAAACUCCAAGUGGAGGUUCUGCUACUACGUUGCAAUUUGCAAGUUUAAGGGAAAUCAGAUGGAUUUGGAUGAUCGUAUCGUGCAAUUGGAGAAAGAGAAACAAGAGACUCUGGAGCAGCACGCCAAACGGCCUUGUGUCAGAGGCAAUACCUCCUCCGAAGAAGAAGAUGAAGAGAAAGUUGUUGAGGAUACGGCUGCCUCUGACGAAGAAGAAGAUGAGGAAGAGACAGAAGAUGAUACUGAUUCCGAUUCUGAUUCCGAAUAUGUGCCGUUUACGCCUAGACGUUUAAUGACUGAUGAAGAAAUUCGUGAACAUCGGAGGCAGGUUGCUGAAAGCAACGGAUUCGAUGUUGAUUGGUUUGAAGGCAUUCUACCUGGUUCAAUUAAGCCCUAUACCUUGACCGAAGCAAACCGCCCUCCAUUGAUAGAUUUUUCCAAGCAAGCUUUGAAAGUCUACAAUGAGAGCAAUAAUACAACUUUUAUAUUUGAUAAGCUUAUCAAAUCAAAUGCUCAAUGUGUUGCUGGCACAAUGUUCUACAUUACUUUUGGGGCGCAAUCUGGCAAUAUACAUGGAACCUUUCGUGCUAGGGUCUGGAAAAAGAUAAUGAACGAAGGUUCGCAGGUUAUGUCUUGUGAGAAGUAUAUUGAGGAGCAUGUGUGAGUUUGUCAGCUCGCGUGGUGUUCUACUUUGCUCGCGCCGUAUUCUUUUGCUCACAUUGCGUUCUGCUAUAGUUUGGUCUGAUGUGUUCUUCUACCCGCGCUGUUCUGAAACUUACUGCUCUUCUCCACCAUUUUGAAAUCUCUUGACUUGCGCUGCUGUUGCCGUUUCUACCUGCGCUGCCGGAUCCGCCGCUGCUGUAAUCCCUCUUCUCCGCCUUGCGCUGCCUGAGUCGUCUCUGGUCGUCGUCGCUGCUCGAUGGUUGUUGGCGGCUCGCCAAUGCAUCACGUCCUUGCUGCUCUGCCUGAGCUGUCUCUGCUGUAAUCCUUACUGACCACUGCAAUCAUGUCUCAGUGUUUUCCCUAGCUUGUGGUUAGUAUGGGCAACUGCAGAAGCUUUCAGAGUUGCUGAUGCUCCUGCCAAGGUUUUCUUUCUUCUGAUGGAAAACAAUGAGGAGAUUCUUCCAUUUUGCACACAGAUUCUCCAGUUCCAGGCUCAGUGACUGUCGAGGCGAAGUGUUCGAUACGUCCGUGCGUCAAACUUCCUGUGUUGCUGGGACCUCCUCCACUUGUUGAGGAUUGGGGGUGUGUUCCUUCAUUAGAGAAGCUGGAACUUAGCUCACAGAAGUGGUCUAAUUUUUUCACUUAUUUUCCUAUGCAUAUUUAGAAGUGGUCUAAAUUAUUAGAGUUAAUUAGUGGGUUGAAGAACAUGUCUCAGUUUAUAUAAGAACUCUUUUCAUAAAUAUAUUUAACAAAAAUGUAGUGCCACUGCCACCUAAAGAGGGUUUUGUCACUCAUCCUUACAAGAGCUCAAGGUAACUAAUAAUAAUAAAUAGCAUCUUUGUAAUUUAUAUAUGGAAGUUAGUUAAUCAAGUAGUAUUGGCUGCAAAUUCAAAGAAAUUAAAGCACUAACUAGUUGAAUUGCUGAUACAUGUGGCAGAGAAGUAUGACAAAAAAGGCAAGAGGUAUUGGGAUGUCUUCUACAAGUACCAAAAGGACAAG